UACAGAGGGUGCGAGCGUUGUCCGGAAUCACUGGGCGUAAAGGGCGCGUAGGUGGCGAUCCAAGUCCAUGGUGAAAGCUCGAUGCUCAACAUCGAGUCGGCCACGGAUACUGGGUUGCUUGAGCACUGUAGGGGCAGAUGGAAUUCCGGGUGUAGCGGUGGAAUGCGUAGAGAUCCGGAAGAACACCGGUGGCGAGGGCGGUCUGCUGGGCAGUUGCUGACACUGAGGAGCGAAAGCGUGGGGAGCAAACAGG
rnacentral:rRNA from 1 species